UAGUGAAGAACAAUAUUAGGCUUUACUUGUAUUGGUAAACGACAAACAGUUAUAACAUAUUAGUUACUUAAAACAGCAGCCAGCAAGGUGAAAGGUAGAAGGAAUAGAGACAAAGAGCAAGUAAAAAAAAUAAAGAACUUCCUUCCUGUGAGUACCAACAAGUUCAUAUGCAUAUAUAAGCAGUACUCUGAACUGCACAGCGCCAUCUACAGCUCAAGUGCUAAUUAUAUAGAAUUUAUACAGCACAUGCUGUUGUAUUUCCCAACAUUUCUUUCCCCACAGUCUCUAUGUGUCUCUUGUUUCCCUUUCCCAACCCCUUUGUGUAUUUUUUUUCUCUUCCCCAGCUCCUCUCUUUCUCCCCCAAGACCCUUUCUGUAUCUCUUUCCCCAUAGCCCCUCUGUGUGUCUCUUGUUCCUGUUUCCCAGAUCCUCUGUGUGUAUCUUUG